GCACUGAUUGGAAGCCGACCACUGCUGCACGUUCAUGGCCAAGCCACCCCUCCGUGGCUCGCAGUCGUUGCCGUCGAUGGCCAAGCCACCCACUUUGUUGCAGCUCGUCCAUUUGCUGCACCAGAGCAGAGCAAAAAGAAAAGAAAGAAAGAUGUUCCCACACUGCUGCGACUGAAGAAAGAUGUUGGCACUUCCCACAAACUUUUGGACUAAGACGAAAAGCCCACCUCCAAGUCUUUUUUGGGGGUUCAAGAGGAGCGCAAGUCUCAACUUAGAAGGUGUCCAAAAGAAGAUCUUGAUUUGCUCAUUCCCACUUUUGUGGAGAAGCAAUUCGACUGGUUUAGCUCCGAAUCCCCAAAAAGGAACCAUCCAUUGCAUUGCCAGAUCUGAUCAACACGAGCCAUGACCGCAGUUCGUCUAUCCACCGACAACAACCACGGCAAGCAACGAAGUUCAGAUCUGAUCUCCGUGACUUCAGAUCUGGGCGACCGAAUUUGAUCUGCGUCAACUAAGGAGGAGGGAGGGAACUCAAGCGACCAUGGACGAGGAUGGCUGCAAGCGACGACGAAGCGAGUGGCUCAGCCCUGGACACCCAGCAGUGAUCAGCUUUUGACGCGGUGCCGGCAAUCCGCUGGUGACUGGAUAGAGGAGCUGAUCGCGGAGAGAGCAAAAACGAGAAGUUGAUUUUUAAUUUUUUUUUUAUUCAUUUGCCACAUCAUGAAUGAGUGCCAAUUUCUAAUUGAAUUUGGAACAAAAACACAUGUCACGUCAACCUAUGACGUGGCACUGCUGCGUAACCACUGAAUACGAUA